UACGGAGGGUGCAAGCGUUAAUCGGAAUUACUGGGCGUAAAGCGUGCGCAGGCGGUUGUGUGUGUCAGGGGUGAAAGCCCGGGGCUUAACCCCGGAAUUGCGCCUGAAACUACAUGACUAGAGCAUUGGAGAGGGUAGCGGAAUUCACGGUGUAGCAGUGAAAUGCGUAGAUAUCGUGAGGAACACCAGAGGCGAAGGCGGCUACCUGGACAAUUGCUGACGCUCAGGCACGAAAGCGUGGGGAUCAAACAGG
rnacentral:rRNA from 1 species